UUAAGUGGCCCUGGAAAAAACAUAAAAGUGGCCCGGUGUUGUAGGUGGGUUCAAACUGACAGAAGACGGGCCAAAACAAGUAGGCAGGGACAACCAAAGUAGACGGGGCCUGCAAUACUGUAGUGCACAAAAUAACUCCCU